UGGGGAAUAUUGGACAAUGGGGGGAACCCUGAUCCAGCCAUGCCGCGUGUGUGAAGAAGGCCUUAUGGUUGUAAAGCACUUUAAGCGAGGAGGAGGGUACUGGUAUUAAUACUACCAGCUACUGGACGUUACUCGCAGAAUAAGCACCGGCUAACUCUGUGCCAGCAGCCGCGGUAAUACAGAGGGUGCGAGCGUUAAUCGGAUUUACUGGGCGUAAAGCGUGCGUAGGCGGCUAAUUGAGUCGGAUGUGAAAUCCCCGAGCUUAACUUGGUAAUUGCAUUCGAUACUGGUUAGCUAGAGUGUGGGAGAGGAUGGUAGAAUUCCAGGUGUAGCGGUGAAAUGCGUAGAGAUCUGGAGGAAUACCGAUGGCGAAGGCAGCCAUCUGGCCUAACACUGACGCUGAGGUACGAAAGCAUGGGGAGCAAACAGG
rnacentral:rRNA from 1 species